GGCCCCUUCAGAUCCUGGUUUCAAGUUGUCGGUCACAGCUGAUGUUGAAAGCUUGGCAUGGGAUCCGCACGAUAAGCAUUUAUUUGUGAUGGUACAGUUCAAGGUUUUGACAUCCGUGCUGCCAAGUCUGAAUCAGGUUCUGAUCUGAAGCCAAGUUUUACUCCGUGCACGCGACAAAGCUGUUUGCAAGACCUCUUAUAAUCCUUCAGCACCUAAUCUUCUUGCUGCUGGAUCAAUAGAUAAAAUGGUGAAGUCAUUUGUUCCUUUUUUGGUCCUUCCUGUAAAGCAGAGGUUAACAAUGGUUCUUAUAGUUCCAUUCUCUGUCGAAUAUUUCUGCAUGUAAAACUCUGGGAUUUGUCCAACAACCAACCCGCAUGUGUAAAAUCCAAGAAUCCUA